rnacentral:rRNA from 1 species
AUAUGGUCAAGCGAAUAAGGGUCUACGGUGGAUGCCUUGGAGCUGUAUGAUGAAGAAGGUCGUGGUAAGCUGCGAAAAGCCGCGUUUAGGAGCAAACAUCCAUUAACACGCGGAUAACCGAAUGGGGUAACCCGUCAUAUUAGAUUAUAUGUCAUGUUAUGGUGAAUAAAAUAGCCAUAAGAGGAAACACCCGGGGAACUGAACCAUCUAAGUACCCGGAGGAAAAGAAAUCAAUUGAGAUUCCCCUAGUAGCGGCGAGCGAACGGGGAAGAGCCUAAACCGGUAAUGUGUGAUAUGCCUGUGCAGUUGCAUUACCGGGGUUGUAGGGCUCUUUGAGGGGCAGGCAGGCUGCCCCGCGUAGUUGGGAAAAAACUUAUUCUUAGAAGAACGGUACUGGGAAGGCCGGCCAGAGAAGGUGAAAGCCCUGUAAUUGAAAAGAAUAAGACUACGUAAAAGAGUACCUGAGUAGGGCGGGACACGAGAAAUCCUGCUUGAAUCCGGGAGGACCACCUUCCAAGGCUAAAUACAAGACAGCUACCGAUAGCGCAUAGUACCGUGAGGGAAAGGUGAAAAGAACCCCGGAAGGGGAGUGAAAUAGAAUCUGAAACCGUAGACUUACAAACGGUCAAAGCCGUGAUUUAUCACGGUGAUGGCGUGCCUUUUGUAGAAUGAGCCUGCGAGUUACUGUAUAUUGCAAGGUUAAGGGAUAGAAGUCCCGGAGCCGUAGGGAAACCGAGUCUUAAUUAGGGCGACAUGAGUAGUAUGCAGUAGACCCGAAGCCAAGUGAUCUAUCCAUGCCCAGGUUGAAGCUCUGGUAACACAGAGUGGAGGACCGAACCCUAGUCUGUUUAAAAAGGCAGGGAUGAGGUGUGGAUCGGAGUGAAAGGCUAAUCAAACUUGGAAAUAGCUGGUUCUCCCCGAAAUAGCUUUAGGGCUAGCCUCAUAUUUAAAUGUAACGGAGGUAGAGCACUGAAUGAGCUAGGGCCCUUCACCGGGUACCAAACUCAACCAAACUCCGAAUGCUGUUACAGGAUGUAUGGGAGUCAGACUACGGGUGAUAACAUUCGUGGUCAAAAAGGAAACAACCCAGACCGACGGCUAAGGUCUCAAAUCUAUGCUAAGUGGAAAAGGAAGUGUAAUUGCGAAGACAGCCAGGAGGUUGGCUUAGAAGCAGCCAUACCUUAAAAGAGUGCGUAAUAGCUCACUGGUCGAGUAGUAAUGCGCCGAUAAUGUAACGGGGCUAAGCAUAGAACCGAAGCCACGGGCUUGCUCGAAAGAGUAAGCGGUAGGGGAGCAUUGUGGAUGUCGAAGAAGGUGUAUCGCGAGGUAUGCUGGAGAUAACACAAGAGAGGAUGCAGGCAUGAGUAACGAAAAGAGGGGUGAGAUCCCCCUCCGCCGAAAGCCUAAGGAUUCCAGGGUUAAGGUAAUCUUCCCAAGGGUUAGUCGGCCCCUAAGGCGAGGCUGAAAAGCGUAGUCGAUGGGAAACGGGUUAAUAUUCCCGUACCUCUUUUACUUUCGAAGGGAUGACGCAUAAGGUGAAGCCCGGCCGGAGAAUGGUAGUUCCGGUCUAAGCAGUAAGCCGUUGAAGGAUGCAGGAAAAUCCGCAUCUUGAGGUAAGCUGUUAUGGCGAGAGAGUCUAAGGACAAUUGAAGCGGGUGUAGUCAUAGUGCCAGGAAAUAAUCUCUAAGGACAGGGUAAAAGGGACCGUACCGUAAACCGACACAGGUAGGCGGGCUGAGAAUGCUAAGGCGCUCGGGAGAACUCGCGUUAAGGAACUCGGCAAAAUACACACGUAACUUCGGGAGAAGUGUGGCCUUUUUUGGAGAUCAAAAUUUAGAAGAGGUUGCAGAGAAUAGGUCCAGGCGACUGUUUACCAAAAACACAGGUCUGUGCGAAAUUGCAAAAUGACGUAUACGGACUGACACCUGCCCGGUGCCGGAAGGUUAAGAGGAGGGGUUAGCACUUAGGUGCGAAGCUCUGAAUUGAAGCCCCGGUAAACGGCGGCCGUAACUAUAACGGUCCUAAGGUAGCGAAAUUCCUUGUCGGGUAAGUUCCGACCCGCACGAAUGGUGUAACGAUCUGGACGCUGUCUCAACGCGAGACCCGGUGAAAUUGGAGUACCGGUGAAGAUACCGGUUACUCGUGGUUAGACGGAAAGACCCCGUGAACCUUUACUGUAGCUUGGCACUGAAACUUGUCCUGAUAUGUGUAGGAUAGGUGGGAAACUAUGAAGCUUGUACGCUAGUAUGAGUGGAGUUGACGGUGAAAUACCACCCUUAUCAGGUUAGGUUUCUAACGGAUGCCCUUAUCGGGUAUCUGGACAAUGUCAGGUGGGCGGUUUGACUGGGGCGGUCGCCUCCUAAAGAGUAACGGAGGCGCGCGAAGGUUGCCUUGCGGUGGUUGGAAAUCAUCGUGUAAGUGUAAAGGCAUAAGGCAGCCUGACUGCGAGACAAACAAGUCGAGCAGGUACGAAAGUAGGUCUUAGUGAUCCGGCGGUUCCGCGUGGAAGGGCCGUCGCUUAACGGACAAAAGGUACUCCGGGGAUAACAGGCUGAUUUUGCCCAAGAGUUCAUAUCGACGGCAAAGUUUGGCACCUCGAUGUCGGCUCAUCGCAUCCUGGGGCUGGAGCAGGUCCCAAGGGUUUGGCUGUUCGCCAAUUAAAGCGGUACGUGAGCUGGGUUCAGAACGUCGCGAGACAGUUCGGUCCCUAUCUGCCACGAGCGUUGGAUGUUUGAGAGGAGCUGCUUUUAGUACGAGAGGACCGAAGCGGACGAACCUCUGGUGUACCAGUUAUCCUGCCAAGGGUAAGUGCUGGGUAGCUAUGUUCGGACGGGAUAACCGCUGAAAGCAUCUAAGCGGGAAGCCCCCCUCAAGAUGAGACAUCCCUUCACCUUUAAGGUGACUUAAGACACCAGGAAGAAUACCUGGUUGAUAGGCCGGGAGUGUAAGUGCAGUAAUGUAUUCCAGCUUACCGGUACUAAUCAGUCGUGAGGCUUGACCAUAU